rnacentral:lncRNA from 1 species
NNNNNNNNNNNNNNNNNNNNNNNNNNNNNNNNNNCCCCCCCCCCGGGUCCCCAUUGAGUCCAGGUCCCAGUGCCAGGUCCCCGUGUCCCCAGGGUGUCCCAGUGCCCAUGUGCUGGGGUCCGCUGAUCUGCGGGUCCCCAUGUCCCUGUGUCCCCGUGUCCCCAUGGUGCCAGGUCCCGAGGUCUUGGGGUCCCGAUGUCCCCAGUGCCAGGUCCCCAUGUCCCCAGAUCCGCAGGUCCCCGUGGUGCCAGGUCCCCAGGUCCUGAGGUUUCAGGGUCCCCAUGUCCCCAGUGCCAGGGUCCCCCCGUCCCCACGGAGCCAGGUCCCCAUCCCCAAAUCCGCAGGUUCUGUUGGCGCCAGGUCCCCGUGUCCCUGUGUCUCAGGGUCCCCAGGUCCCCAAGUCCCCGUGUCCCCAGGUCCCCAAGUCCCCGUGUCCCCAGGUCCUUGUGUCCCCAGGUCUCAGGGUCCUCAUGUCCCCAGAUCCACAGGUCCUCAUCUUGCCGGGUCCUGAGGUCUCGGUGUCCCCAGGUCCCCAGUGCCAGGUCCCCAUGUCCCCAGCUCCCCAUGGAGCCAGGUCCCCAUGUCCCCAAAUCCCCAGGUUCUGUUGGUGCCAGGUCCCCAUGUCCCCAGGUUUCAGGGUCCCCAUGUCCCCAGGUCCCCAUAUCCCCCGGUCUCAGGGUCCCCGUGUCCCCAGGUCUUGGGGUCCCUGUUUCCCCAGGUUCCUGCGUCCUCAGGUCUUGGGGUCCCCAUGUCCCCAGUUCCCAUGUCCCCAUGCCCCCAUGCCCCCAUGUCCCCAGGUCUCGGGGUCCCCAUGUCCCCGUGUCCCCAGCCCCGUCCCGGGGGUGCCCUCGCCCAGCCCGGGGGCAGCGGGGCUGCGAGUGGCCGCUGGCCGGACGCCGCUAAGAGGCUUCCGCGGGCGCUUGGCCCUAAUCCGCCUGGCGUCACCGCCACCGCCGCCGUCACCGCUACUGCCGCUGCUGCUACUGCUGCUACUGCCGCUGCUGCUACUGCUGCUGCUGCUGCUAUUGCUACUGCCGCUGCCACUGCUACUGCCACUGUCACCAUCACCAUUACCGUCACCAUUACUGCCACUGCCACCGCCACUGCCACUGCUGCCACUGCUGCUACUGCUGCUACUGCUGCUGUCACCAUCACCAUUACUGUCACUGCUACCGCCACCGCUGCUGCCACUGCCACCACUACUGCCACUGCUACUGCUACUGCCACUGCCACCAUCACCGCUACUGCCACCACUACUGCCGCUGCCACCACUACUGCCACUGCUACUGCUACUGCCACUGCCACCAUCACCGCUACUGCUACCACUACUGCCGCUGCCACCAGUACUGCCACCACUACUGCCACUGCCACCAGUACUGCCACCACUACUGCCACUGCUACCACUACUGCCGCUGCCACUGCUACUGCUACUGCUACUGCCACCGCCACCACUGCUGCCACCGUUACCGUCACCACCGCUACCUGGGGACCCAGGUGGCAAGGGGGGGGGCCGGGGGUGUGCCGCGUCUCGGGGCCUCCCCGCGCGUGUGUGAACCCCCCCGUGGCACGGGCUGGGCCACCUUGCACACGCGUCCCCCCCCUUGCACGCUCG